rnacentral:misc_RNA from 1 species
GGCAUCGGCGAGGCGGCCAUCGCCUAUGGCGUGGGCGGCACCGCGGCGGCUGGCAUGGUCAAGGACCUGUCCGAACGCAUGAUCGUCGGCCGCGACCCGUCCCGGAUCGAGGCUCUGUGGUCGGAGAUGUACGACCAUUCCUUUUGGGCAAAGGGCGGCGGCGCGAUCGUGUUCGCAGCGAUCAGCGCGAUCGAACAGGCGCUGUGGGACAUCAAGGGCAAGGCUCUCAAGGGGCCGGUCUAUGAGCUGCUGGGCGGCAAGGUCCAGGACGAGCUGAGCGGCUACGCGAACGGCUGGUAUGGCGCGUCAAGGACGCCGGCCGAAUUGGCCAAGGCGGCGGAACGACCGCUGCGCGACGGCUACAAGGCGCUGAAAUGCUAUCCGCUGGCCUCUCCGGACGGGAGGGGAGGCCUGCGCCAUGUCACGCGGCGGGCUGUCGACCGCGAGUUCGCCAACCUGGCUUUCGAGAAGAUCAAAGUGUUGCGGGAUGCGGUCGGUCGUGACGUCGAGAUCAUG